rnacentral:lncRNA from 1 species
UCAUGUUGGCCAGGCUGGUCUCGAACUCCUGACCUCAGGAUAGAUUCUGCUUUGGAGAUCAACAUGCUGUAUAUCACAAUAAUGAUGGGACUCACGGCAUGGAGGAUGGACAGAGGAGCUUUCUCCUGGAGUGGUAUUUCUGGAAUUUCUAGUGUCAGGUGCUACUUAAUAUCUCUCACAAGAAAAGAAGAAAUCCCUCUGCCUUUUAAUGUUCUGGGAAUAGAAAGAAUAAAGGAGACUGAGGUGAAUCCACCAAGGAGUAUAGCAAUUUCUAUUUGUCUCCUUAAUAGUCCAACACUUCACUCACACAACAAUGUUACGUAGUUUCAUCAAAUGAUGAGUCCAGCCCCUUUCUUCUGCAGAAAAUGUCAGUUCACUGCUCCUUGCCUACAAAAUAGAAAUUAGAGAGAUACCAGCUUUUCUAGCCAGACUACAAAAUUACUUUGACUAAAUCGCUAAAAAUUCAGCCUCUCUACCAAUUUCCACAAUACGUCUCAAAUGGUAACUUUAAUCUCUGUUUGUGCCUUUCAGGAAUCCAAUGAGCAAACAAUUCUUUCUCUAAAGCAACUCUCCCUUCAGCCCAUUGUGUUGUAGGUCUUUUCAGUCCCCUGAGAAACUCAUAAUUCCUGUAGCUGAUGUCCAUCUUCCCCAAAAUGUAUUACCAUUUAUUAUUUGCAUGUAUGUCCUUUUUCAU